rnacentral:rRNA from 1 species
UUUGUUCAACGGCCGCGGUAUCCUAACCGUGCGAAGGUAGCGUAAUCACUUGUCUUUUAAAUGGGGACUUGUAUGAAUGGCAUCACGAGGGUUAUACUGUCUCCUUUUUCUAAUCAGUGAAACUAAUCUUCCCGUGAAGAAGCGGGAAUAAACAUAUAAGACGAGAAGACCCUAUGGAGCUUUAAACUUAAUGACAAAUACUAACCUUACGUCAACCUUCAGAGUAUUAACCUUAAUUUUAGUAUUAUGAUUAUUAGUUUUAGGUUGGGGUGACCGCGGAGUAAAAAUUAACCUCCACAUUGAACGGGACCUGUCCCUGAGCCAAGAACUACAGCUCAAAGCACCAACAAAUUGACAUUAAUUGACCCAAUAUUUUGAUCAACGAACCAAGUUACCCUAGGGAUAACAGCGCAAUCCACUUCAAGAGCUCCUAUCGACAAGUGGGUUUACGACCUCGAUGUUGGAUCAGGGUAUCCCAGUGGUGCAGCCGCUACUAAAGGUUCGUUUGUUCAACGAUUAAAACCCU